rnacentral:tRNA from 1 species
UCCCUGGUGGUCCAGUGGUUAAGACUCUGUGCUUGGAAGGCAACGGGCACAGGUUUGAUCCCUGGUUGGGGAA